rnacentral:tRNA from 2 species
GAAAUAUUUUACAAUUAAGCUGCUAACUUAAUUAAUAGUGAUUUAAAUCAUUAAUAUUUCU